UUAAAUUGAAGAGUUUGAUCAUGGCUCAGAUUGAACGCUGGCGGCAGGCCUAACACAUGCAAGUCGAGCGGUAGCACAGAGAGCUUGCUCUCGGGUGACGAGCGGCGGACGGGUGAGUAAUGUCUGGGAAACUGCCUGAUGGAGGGGGAUAACUACUGGAAACGGUAGCUAAUACCGCAUAAUGUCGCAAGACCAAAGUGGGGGACCUUCG
rnacentral:rRNA from 1 species